UUUUCGUCAUAAUAUUUUCUAAUAAAAAUAAAUUUUUUCAAUAAUCAAAAAUGUCAGCAGGUGAGAUAAAAAAGACAGAAGAACCUUUAAUAUUUCAUACAUAUCCUUUAUGUAAAUAUAGUGAUAUGCGAGAAGAAAUGAAACAAGAAGCAAUAGAAAUAUGUGUUACUGCAACAGAAAAAUAUACUGAUAACCAUGAAUUAGCAGCUCGAAGUAUUAAGGAAAAUUUAGAUAAUAGAUUCGGAGGUCCAUUUCAUGUUGUUAUUGGAGAAUCAUAUGCUUGUGCAGUUACAUAUCAAGCAACAUCAUUAUUAUACAUGUAUAAUGCUGGCAAUAUUGCUAUUCUUGUAUGGAGAACAGUUUCAACUUUUUAAUGACAAUAUUAAAAUUUUAGCAUUUUAUUUUUAACAACAUUUUAUACUUUAUAACAUAACAUUUCUCUUAUAUUUAUUUUACAUUCUCUUUUUCUGAAGAAGAAGAAUUUAUAAUAUGGGCUAGUACACUUAUUGCAACAGGCUUAGGUCUUGCUGUAGUGGGUUUUACAGGACGUUAUAUAAUUAAAAAAAUGCCACAUUUAUCUCAAAAAA
rnacentral:misc_RNA from 1 species